UACGUAGGGUGCGAGCGUUAAUCGGAAUUACUGGGCGUAAAGCGUGCGCAGGCGGUUUGCUAAGACAGGCGUGAAAUCCCCGGGCUUAACCUGGGAACUGCGUUUGUGACUGGCAGGCUAGAGUAUGGCAGAGGGGGGUGGAAUUCCACGUGUAGCAGUGAAAUGCGUAGAGAUGUGGAGGAAUACCGAUGGCGAAGGCAGCCCCCUGGGCCAAUACUGACGCUCAUGCACGAAAGCGUGGGGAGCAAACAGG
rnacentral:rRNA from 1 species